rnacentral:misc_RNA from 1 species
UACUGUGGCCAAGUUGUGAGUACUUACGAGCCCUCUUUCAGUCAGGAAUGCAAGAAAGCCAUUCACUGACCAUCAAGGUGCCAGUUUGUUGGGAUUCCUUGGUUAAGUUAGUCAGCUGGUUCUAUUCUGGUGAGUUGCCUCGACCAAUAUCUGGCUGUCUAUGGGAUAAUCUGAGUAAGGAGGAAAAGCUAAGUGAACUCGAGCCCUAUGUGGAACUAUGUUCGCUUGCUCAAUUCUGGCUCUUAGAAGACUUGCAUGAAAAAUGUUUUAAACUGAUUGUAUCCAUUUUAGAUUCCUGUCAGUACUUGUCUAUAAAAAUUAUCCAGAUGGCUGCUAA